ACAUGCCUUGGGAGCUAAGUGGUUGCUGCCCUUGACCACUGUGAAGACUGGUGUGGGAAGGGUCGUUUUGGAUGCACUUGAGCAGGGGUCCCCAACCCCUGAGCCAUGGAGCCGCAAGGAGCCACACAGCAGGAGGUGGGAACAUCCAGUUGCAGGAAAACAAGCUUAACACGCCCACUGAUUCUACAUUAUGCUCCUACCUCCCGGCAGCCUCUCCAGGCCCAGAACUUUCUCCAGUCAGCCUCUACAGACCAAGCUCAUGACUCUCAAUGGCCUAUUUAGGCCCAUACCCUACGUCACGGCAGCCUCCGCAGAUGAGGCUACUGCCUCACAACAGCCUCCACAGGCACAGCUCCAUCGUUACAAUGGCCUCUUUAGACCCAGCUCCUGCCUCCCAGCCUUCUCUCCAGGCCCUGAACUUUCUCAGUAAGUUCAGGUAGCUGGGACUGUAGGGUCUCCCUCUGUUGUCCAAGGCUGGAGUGUAGUAGUGCUAUCGCAGCUGACUGCAGCCUCAACCUUCCAGGCUGAAGCGAUCCUCCCACCUCAACCUCCCACGUGGCUGAGACU
rnacentral:lncRNA from 10 species